rnacentral:rRNA from 1 species
GACCCACGAUAUACUAAGCUAAAUGUUGAUGCAGCGUUCUUUGCAGAUGAAGUACUGGGUGCAACAUCUGCAGUACUUAGAGAUGACAGGGGGAACUUUAUUGCGGCUCAGUGCAAAUUCAUCCCACAUGCAGCGAAUGUUAUUACUGUUGAAGCAAUGGCUAUGAGGGAUGGAUUAGAGUUCGCUAAUUCGCUCGGUCUGAACCAAGUUGAUGCGGAGUCGGACUCACUACAAGUCAUCAAUUACUGCAAUGGACAGACGAGAUGGUGGGAUGAUGCGGCAGCUUUAUUCGUUGAGUGUGUGGAUUUAGGAUCUAUGAUCGGGAAGGUCAUGUUUAAGCAUUGUCUUCGUUCUUGUAACAAAGUAGUGCAUGUGCUAGCAAACUAUAGUUAUUGUAAUAUGGCUUCGAUUAGUUGGUUAAACGAGCCUCCUGACUGUAUUGUCAGUUUGCUCGUAGACGAUGUAAAC